GUCAACUACCCCUGCCUAAAGGCAGAGGCUGGAGAAAAGCCUCGGUUGACUAGCCUGAGUGAUUUUCCUUCAAGGAGAAGAACUACGUUGGUUGGGAAUGCAUAGGCACCGCGGGAUGUCCAUCCUAGUCCC
rnacentral:sRNA from 1 species